ensembl:miRNA
UGCUUGACACUCUUUCCCUGUUGCACUACUGUGGGAGCUGCAGCAAGCAGUGCAAUAAUGAAAGGGCAUCAGUC